rnacentral:rRNA from 1 species
ACGAACGCUGGCGGCGUGCCUAAUACAUGCAAGUCGAACGAGAGCGACCGGUGCUUGCACUGGUCAAUCUAGUGGCGAACGGGUGAGUAACACGUGGGUAACCUGCCCAUCAGAGGGGGAUAACAUCCGGAAACGGAUGCUAAAACCGCAUAGGUCUUCGAACCGCAUGGUUUGAAGAGGAAAAGAGGCGCAAGCUUCUGCUGAUGGAUGGACCCGCGGUGCAUUAGCUAGUUGGUGAGGUAACGGCUCACCAAGGCCGUGAUGCAUAGCCGACCUGAGAGGGUGAUCGGCCACAUUGGGACUGAGACACGGCCCAAACUCCUACGGGAGGCAGCAGUAGGGAAUCUUCCGCAAUGGACGCAAGUCUGACGGAGCAACGCCGCGUGAGUGAAGAAGGUUUUCGGAUCGUAAAACUCUGUUGUUAGAGAAGAACAAGUGCUAGAGUAACUGUUAGCGCCUUGACGGUAUCUAACCAGAAAGCCACGGCUAACUACGU